AGUAAGGAGAUGAAAAUAAAGUUUUGAGGAGAGACUGAAAAGACGACACUGUUUAAUCUGUCCUCUGAGGUCCAAAACUGAGGGACAAAUAAAGUAAAGUUACCAGACAAAUCAGCUUCACUCCUUCUAGUGAGGAGGAGUCAAUGCAAAACUCAGAUGUCUUCCACCUCUACUUAUCUGACUGCAGAGAGGAGGACAGAGGACAGUGGACACACAGUUUAACAUGAUGGACUAUAGGACAGGACUGCUGCUUUUAACCAUCUGCUGCUGGACAGGUGUUGAUGGUCAGACUCUGACAGAAUCUGAACCAGUGACUAAAAGACCUGGAGAAUCCCACAGACUGACCUGUACAGCCUCUGGACUUACCAUUUCUGGCUACGGUAUGAGCUGGAUCAGACAGGCUCCUGGAAAAGGACUGGAGUGGAUCGCUUAUGUUUAUAGUACCAACAUCUAUUACUCCCAGUCAGUCCAGGGGAGAUUCACCAUCUCUAGAGAUGACUCCAGCAGUAAAGUCUAUCUACAGAUGGACAGUCUGAAGACCGAGGACACAGCAGUGUAUUACUGUGCCCGAGACACACAGUGCCAGAUCAUGCUGGAAAAUGAAAUCCUCAUCUCCAUAGAGCUUUCCAGCAUGAUCUGGCACCUGCCCACAGUGCCAGAACCACCAGUAACUGGUGUACUGCCCAUGGCAUUACUGUCCUCGAUUGGCCUGCCAAUUCCCCUGACCUGA